rnacentral:piRNA from 1 species
UGACUCCUUCAGGAACUAUGCCCGGC